ACUCCUACGGGAGGCAGCAGUGGGGAAUCUUGCGCAAUGGGCGAAAGCCUGACGCAGCCAUGCCGCGUGGAUGAUGAAGGUCUUAGGAUUGUAAAAUCCUUUCACCGGGGACGAUAAUGACGGUACCCGGAGAAGAAGCCCCGGCUAACUUCGUGCCAGCAGCCGCGGUAAUACGAAGGGGGCUAGCGUUGCUCGGAAUUACUGGGGCGUAAAGGGCGCGUAGGCGGACAGUUAAGUUGGGGGUGAAAGCCCGGGGCUCAACCUCGGAAAUGCCUUCAAUACUGGCUGUCUUGAGUACGGGAGAGGUGAGUGGAACUCCGAGU
rnacentral:rRNA from 1 species